ensembl:lncRNA
GGGAAAAGAAACAGUAUUUUAAAAAGUAAAAAUCUUGCAUCUAGAAGUCUGUCCUUUCCUCAGAUGUGGCUGCUGUUCAAGCACAGAGGCAUCUCUCAAGGAACUGCCAGAUAUAUCAAUGUCUCUCUACAAAUUAACAAAGUGGAGCUGUCAAUUAUUUAAAAAUGUAGAUGCAGCAAGCAGUUGGCUGUGUCUGGUAUUCCUCACAAAGAGGGGUGCCAGAAUUUCACUGGCAAAACACUUCAGCUAAGUGAUCUCAGAUGAAAAAAUGACAGCUUCUGCUAAUAAACAGUCAGGGCUAUGAGUAUAAACAUUCAUCAGUAGUCCUAGAGUGGAGGGAUCGUGGUAGUAUCUGGCUUUGCAGAGACUGUUGUGCUCUUUGCACCCUUGUGCGCAUGUAUUCCAGUCUUAAUCUGGGACAGUUACUGGAACUGGAAUGUACACAAUAAAAAGAAAGAGCAAAGGGCAUCUGCUCUUCAGAGCACAGCUCAAAUGCCUUGGCCAUUUCCUCCCAAAGUGCUAUAGCUUUGUUCCAGCAGCAGCUACAGGAAGGUUCAGCACACCCACAGCUCCCAGAGCUGGUGGAGAAGAUCAUAGGAACUAUCCCAUGUCCUUGGGUGAGCAGCAGAUGACUGGGAGAGGAGUACCAAAACCAUCACAGUGUGCUCCAUUGUGGGUUUGGUGUCUGCUGAGACGUGUCUCAAGGCACAGAGGGACUGAGGGAAGACCCUUGGGCUGGCACUUAGCAGUCAUCCAGCAAGGAGUGUGGAGCUGAGUAAUGGCAGGAGACAGAGGCAGAGAGACAAGAAGCCACAAAUCAGGUAUUCAAGUGGUGCUUCUAGGAUGCCAGAUGUGCUUCCUCCUAGGAGGAUAGAUCCAGGAAUGCAUGGGUUUACUCCAAGGAGACCAAGACAUAUGCAGCUGCAAAAGGAUUUCAAGAUCCACUCCUGUGCACUAGAGUAAGAUCAAUUAUACCUAUGUUAUUCGUGACAAAAGUUUGAUUUGGUCUUGGCUGUAGGGACCCUACAUGUGAUGCAGGGCAGUGCUGCACUACCUGUCCUAUUCAGUGGUCUCCAGAACAUCUGUUAGGAGCCUUCUCCAAGGUGAGCUGAGCCCUCCAUACUUUGUCCUCUUUCCAGGGAUGCAAAAAACAACACAUUGCUUCUCCUUGCAUUAUGAUGGCCCUUUAUGUAUUCCAGGAUUGUUGCUUUGCCCUUUCUCAGUCUUUUCAUCUCCUGAACAGCCUCCAUUUGUUCAACCUUCCCUCAGAGGUCAUGUUUUUGGGAUCAUUCCUGCUGGGCUCUCCUGUGGACUCUCUCUAGUAUUUGUGUAUUUUAUCCAGUGACUAUUGAUACAAAAUGCAGUGAUGAAAAAAGUUGCUUUUGCUGCCUGUGGAUGGUCCAAGUUGCAGAGAGAUCCAUGUGAUCCAGGGUUUCUCCACAGUUGUCUUGGCCCCCUGUCCUCUGCGUAAUGCAUGUGGUGAGGGAUUCAUACACACAUUUCACUUGCAACAACAACAAAUGCAGAGAAGGGGAACAUUUGUGAACAUCGUCUGACAUUUAAACAAGAAAGAAGUGAAAGGAUGCUUUACAGGGAGACUAUUUAUGGUAACAUGCUGGAAAAAUAUAUAUAUAUAUAUUCUCCUGGCAGCCAAUCAGUCUUGCAAAAAUUUAUUCCCCUCUGCUUGGGGAAGGCCUCAGGCAAGGUCAAUGGUGACCAGAAAGCAAAAAAAUGUUGAGUUUUGGAAAGAGAUCAUACUGUAGCAAAUGGCUCUUGCAGCCCCCAGACUCCUGCUGCUCCUUGGUGGAGGAGAAAGUGAGGAUCCUUUCCCUUCCCCUGGCUACAAGACCUUGUCCCAAGUCCUGCCAUGAAGCAAGGUCUGGCAUGGGGCAAGGAGUCCGGUUCACUGUGUUCCCUGGGACAGUAAAGCUAUGGGUGCAGAGGGACAACUGGAGCAUGGAACAGCACCCUGAUGCAGGAUGCCAGCCAGUUCGCAAAGGCUAUGAGAAAUAUUUUAGUUUUGUUCUAAGAGCACUUGCUUCCUGGUUACCCUCUGGUGGGACCUGCAGCUCUUCAUGACAAGAUUUAGGAGAUGGAGUCAGUCGGGGAGGACAGGCUGAGGUUUGGGUGCUAGCUUUCACAUGUGUGCAGACAAUGGCUGAUGACCUGUCUGUUGGAAGGGCACACACCUAUAAGGACUGUGGCAAAUGUGAUGGAAAAAAAACAGUUUGAGGAAAACACUAUGUCCUUGUGGCAAUGCCAAGGACAGAAAAUGGACAAAAUUAGUUCUUAAAAAAAUUGCAGGCUCUGAUUUAUUUUCAAAUGUCAAAGGAGAUCUCAGGAAGUCCUGUGCAUUUUCUUCCUCCCUUGUUAUGCUGUAACAGUGGAUAGAAGCUGAGAUUAAAAAUGUUGCCCACAAGCAACACAGUUGUACAAUAAGGAAACUUACACUGUAAGUUAACAGAGUCAUGUUAUUUCCCAUUUUAUGCCCAACAUAAUUUGAUGCUAACCUUGUGGCAAGCAUGCAGUAAUUCUAUAAGCAGAUCCACUGCUCUCCAGAGGCUCCUUUAAAGUGAAAUAACUCCGUUUUUAAGGUUCUGUAUGUACAGGAAACAGGAAAGAAGCUGCAAGCAUUUCUCACAAAAAAAGGGAGGAAUUUUAUUUUUACUAGGAUAAAAUAUAUUGCAGAUUGCUCAUUUGUUUACUUGUUUUUUAAAAAGCAUUGAAUGCUGAAGGCACAUCCAAUAUGUCUAUAUAGCAAUGUGGUGUAGUCUGCAAGACCUUUCAGUGGUUGAAGAUGACACCAAGCUGAGCAGUGCAGUCGAUACACUGGAAGGAAGGGAAGCUAUCCAGAGGAACCUGGAUGGGCUGGAGAAGUGGGCUCAUGAGAACGGUAUGAGGUUCAGUAAGGCCAAGUGCAGGGCGCUGUACUGGGGCUGGGGCAAUCCCAGGUAUUUAUACAGACUGGGGGAAGAUCUCCUUGAGAGCAGCCCUGCAGAGAAGGACUUGGGAGUCCUGAUGGACAAGAAGCUGGACAUGAGCCAGGAGUGUGUGCUUGCAGCCCAGAAGGCCAACUAUGAUAUGGGCUGUAUUAAAAGAGGAGUGGCCAGCAAGGAGAGGGAGGUGAUUGUCCCCCUACUACUCAUUGUACCCCUCUACUUGGCCCCAUCUGGAGUACUGUGUCCAGGCCCAGGGCCCCCAGCACAAGUAAGAUGUGGAGCAGAUCCAGAGGAGGGCCACUAAGAUGAUCAGAGGGCUGGAGCACCUCUCCUAUGAAGAAAGGUUGAGGGAACUGGGCUUGUUUAGCUUGGAGGAGGGAAGGUUCCAGGGAGACCUCAUUGUGGCCUUCCAAUACUUGAAGGGAGCAUAUAAACAGGAGGGGGAAUGACCGUUUACGUGGGUGGAUAGUGACAGGACAAGGGGGAAUGGUUUUAAACUGAGACAGAGAGGCUUAGGUUAGAUAUUAGGAGGAAGUUUUUGACACACUGGAACAGGUUGCUCAAGGACGUUGUGGAUGGCAUUCAAGGCCGGGCUGGAUGUGUCUCUGGGCAGCCUGGUCUAGUAGUUGGCGACCCUGCCUAUGGCAAGAGGGUUAAAACUAGAUGAUCAUUAUGUUUUUUUUCAACCCAGGCCAUUCAGUGAUUCUAUGACUGUGUAGUUCUAUGAUUCUAUGAUUCUAUGAACGUGGCAGACACUGUCCAGAAGCAAUUCUUAUAUUUCAUAUUUCUCUCUCUGCCAUUGAUUUUAUUCUAUAUUGCUUUAUACCUUUUAUUCUGUCUGAAUUGAUUUAAUAGCAUUUUGUCUAUUUGCUUAAAACUGAACAGUAUGAGAAACAUGAAGGAAAAAUAAAUUUUUAACUUGGAGCAUUUCAGAUAAUGGCUUUUGAGAUGCCAUGAGUCUGUAUUUUGUGUACUCUCUGCAUCGCACAGAAAAGAUGUAAAGAAAGUCUGAUACGGGUCCCAGGGUAGACCGAAGUUGCACAUCUCAUGGUGCUCAGAAACUCUAUCCCCCUUUGCUCCUAGGGCAAACUAGGGCAAACUUGAGCUGCAAACUUUUCUUCCCCAGGCUACAGUAGUGCCAGGGCUUUUAGAGUCAGGUUCUGACCAGAGAAGGCGACCAAGGCGGCACAUAGCACUAGGUCUGGUAUCUUUUACAAUGAGAGUGCAUUCUUGUCACGGGGCAUGCAGUAGGUGUUGAGGAGGGGCUCAGGCAGGUGGUUGGUGGCAGCCACAUUCCCUUGGGGCUGCCCUGCAGCGAAGCUCUGGCUCUAGCAUGGGCUCUGUCUUUCAGCAACAGAGCAUUAACUUGUCACCCUCAGCCUCACUCUUUCCUGUGGUUUAAUCUGGAGCUGGGUUUGAAACACAAAGGGAAUCUUGUGUUUCAUGUUCUUCUCCCUAGUUGCCUCCCUCACUGCUGUUGCUUAUUUAUAGAGAGAUUGCUGCAGGUGAUACCUAGAAAUUGCUUACAGUCUUUAGUCUCUAAAGUAUGUUUCAAAUGGUGCUGCCUCACUGCUAUAUCUUGGCAAUGCUUACUUUGUAUUUUCCCCCAUGUCUAUCCUGCAGUUCACUUACAAAAGGUAAAUGAAUUUAUAGGGUAUCCCUCUGAAUGGAGGGACAGUAAUUUAGCAUAAUACAAAGCAUAAUUCAGGUUGGGUAUUAAGAAAAACUUCAUAAAGAGUGGUUGGGCAUUGAAACAAGCUACGGAGGGAGUUGGUGGAUUCACCGUCCCUGGGGUGUAUGACAUCUAUGUAGAUGUGAUACUGAGGAAUAUGGUUUACUGGGAAACAAUGGUGGUAGGUGGAUGGUUGGAUUAGAUGAUCUUAGAGGUCUCUUCCAACCUUAGUGAUUCUAUGAGUCUAUGAUUCUAUGAAGCAUCAGUGUGUGCAACCUGAAUCUGUACAGCUACAAAAUGACCUCACGUUCUGUAUGUAUUGCAAAAGUGUUUGAUUUGCUUUUCUAAUUGUUUCUCCUUUAUUCUUUAGAUCAAGAGACGCUUCUAAAAGUAAAGUUUCAAAACAAAAAUGUCAAAAAGUUUCAAUCUGAAAUUGCCAAAAGAAAAUUAUUUGAAUGUAUGUAAUUUCUUUCCUCUUCUGUUCUCUUCUUUGAAUCCAGACUACAUGGGAAGUCAGGCUAAGUUUUGUACUAGUUCAUAGAGCCAAAGAAUGGUUCUACCACAUCACAAAACAUUGCAGUAGUCUGAAAAAAUUUCUCAGCUACACCCAUGCAGCAUUGUGUUCAUUGCUGAUGAAUUUCUCAAAGCUGCCUUGACAAAUUCUAUUGUUAUUCAUUAUUUACAUUAGCGCCUGUGAGGUUAUAGGUUUUGUCUGGCAAAAUAGUAAAAAACAGUAAAUAUAGCCUUUGUCUCUGAAACUUCACCAUUUUCAGCAUCCAUGAGGGAUUUUGAUGCAUGAAAUAACUCAGUUUUGCUGCUCUGUCUGGAGUAGCUCAUUAGUUAAUUCCUUGAGUGAUGUGCGUAAAAUGGUGCAGACUAUGGAUGGGGCUGCAGGCAUGGCUCCUGAGGAACCACCACAUAAUAUUUAACAGAUUUAGAUCUCCUCACUAUCAUAGUAUCUCCAGUCUCAAGUAGUCACAUGAAAGACAAAAUGAAUGAGCUAUAAGAAAUUCACACCAUGCAGCAUUGCUAUAAGUAAUAAAUCUCCUGCGGAAAAGGAAUUUGUAUAGAAAUAAUAAAAGUAUCAGAUGCUAAGAAGAAGUAAAACCAGCUGGGUAAUAUAAAAGAAAAUCUUUAUCCUCAUUUCACUGGUGAAAACUAAUUCAAACAAAAUCCAUUACAUAAAUCAUACACUUGAAAUUAUUUACAUAAAAACAGAUGGAGAGAGUUCCUACUGUGAUGAUGAUGUUUUGGCAAAGUAUGUCUUCCACAGAGCAACUAUCUUUCUGCAAACAAUGGUGUUUGUUCUGCUUUCGUCAGGGUGUAAACCUCUGGCAACCCUUGAAUUCUGUGGGGGCUCAUGUACAAAGCAGGGCACAGCCUGUUUCACUGCCAUUUUUGUGGCUACAGAAAAGUGAGGCUCUAAAGAAAAACUGUACUUCAUGCUGCCCGUGUUCUGGGGCUGCUGCAGCACAUGCUGUCUGUUUUACAGGAACAGAAUAAUUCCACCAUCUCCCUGGGCAGCCUGUUCCCACACCUCACCACUCUUUCUGAGAAGUUGUUCAUCAUGUAACAAAGACAUUUUUGAUGACUAUUUGAAAAGACUAAGUAAGUUAGGCAGACCACAUUGGGAAUGGGAAUUGAAACACACUGAACCACAUUGGGAAGUGAAAAACAUACUUCUGCGUAUACCAAUGCAGAGACAAGGUGCUGACCCCUUUAUACAGAUGAUCCCAUGUGCUCUUCAGCUCAUAAACGAGGUUCAGCGUGCAGGGUUUGGAACUCUUUGCCUUUUCCUGAUUGCUCUCCCUCUUCUUAGAAGAAAUAUCAGUGCAAUUUCCACCUCAGUUCUUGGUGUUUCUAGCUCAUUGCAUGACCUCCCUUCCAACAGCUCCACUACUCCCAUGCUACUUCUUCAAUUGCUGUUAAAAACAGCUUCAUGUUCAAAACAUACUAUUCCUGUCAAAAUAUUAAUUUCUUCCACAUGAUGGAAAAAUAUAAGCUGUCCCUUUAAAAAUGCAUCAUAAAAAUGAACGUUCAUGAAAUAUGAGUCAAGUUUCCAUAUACCUUAAUCAAAUUCUAGAGGGUCUCUAGGGGUUGGGACCUUCCGUGCACCUGUGCAAUGUGAAGUUUGUUCCAGUUCUGAUUGCAAGUAUUUCAUAGUAUAGUAUAGUAUUGCUUCCUUCAUUUUUGCCAUUGAAAACCCCAAGAUGCUUUCUGCAGGCUGAAGGUGCCAUUUUUGGGGGUGACAGUGAUAAGCCGUAGAGAUGGUGUGGCAUACUAACUAUCAGACUUGGAACCAGCAGAGUCCUCAAGCCAAAUAUCAGUCUUGAAAUCCCCAGAACAAAAUGUACCUGCCUUUCUCAUUCCCUGUUUUUAUUCCACAGGGAAAUAGACAGGACCAGGUUUGCAUGAGCUAUAGAGUUUGCCUGUAAAAGCAAUACUGUGAUUGGGUAUCACAGUUUUUAACAUGCUUUUUUUUUUUCUUUCCUUUUUUUUUUUUUGUUAAUGAAUAAACUAAUUCCUGAACUUGCUCAUUUUUCCCUCCUUUCUUCUCUUCUGCUCCCCACCAUUACCACUGCCCAUGCUGUUGGGUCUGCACAUGACAUUUAUGGUCGUACACAUGGUUCGUACAGACCUUUCUUCCCAUUCAGAGCACCUUUACCCAUACCUACAUUUCCCAUCAAGAAGCUCAUUAAUUUUGUGCUCUUUGCUCUACCUUGGUAUUCCCAGUGAGCUUGUCUCUGCAGCCAGGGAACUUCCUUUCUCUGGGGCCCUGGGAGUCUUUUUGGAGCUGCUCUAGCAGGGCAUUUCCAUGGAAGGCUUCGUCUGGUGCACUGGAUUCCUACUACCAUUUCCCUGGGGAGGAUUCCACAGACUAAUAGACCUCAUUAUUAGAGCAUUUUUCCUAAUUUUCUGCCUAAAAUUACCUUUAUUUUUUGCUGUCUCAGGAAAACUUCUUGGUUGUGUGUGUCAAAUGAAAGAGAACAUCAAUAUUUUUAGCAUUUGUUAAUAGCCAAAUGCUGAUAAAGACAACUGGUGCCUUUUAAAUCAAGCAUCUGCUGUCAACAGUCAUCUGAGUCUUAGAAUUUAAAAAAAAAAAAAAAAAAAGGCUUUGCUGAUACUUCAGAUGGGUUUCAUUUCACAUUGCAAAGUUGCCAAGGUCACGUGGAAAGGGGACUUGUUGUAGAAUUUAGCAUUUUUACACACUUGGAACAGUGUUUGAGGAAAGGAAAGAGGGAGAGGCAUAAACUGGGGACUGGGCCACAGAUGUCUGCUGGGGUCCACAAAGUGUGUGUGCAUCAUCUGUGAGCUAUUAAGCUCUCAUAGCUUUUGCCAUCUAAUAUCCUUGUUCAGGAAUGUACAUACUCCAAAAUAAAUUAGAUGGGGAUAUGGUAUCUUGUAUCUGUUUUAACUCAUCUGUCUCUGCAGAAGGAAAUUCACCAGUCCUGGUGUUCACAUCCUCCCAGCUGCCCAGAGGCAGUGACAAGAGCAUCUGAAGCAGCAUCCACCGCUGUGUAGAGGGAGAGAUGAGUGGUGAGCAUUCAUCUGCAGGGUCCUGAUUGCUGGGUGAAAGGGACAGGCAUGCAGCUACACCAUGGUCCAGCAGACACAGCCCAGGAGUCCACAGUAAGUGAUUCUGCAGGGGCUCUAGAAACACAAGCAGCUGCUGAGGGUCCUCCAGAGGAUGAAGAAAAAUCCUGAGAUGCUGAAGGAAGCUUUGAUGCAGAGGAUCUGCUGAUGGAUGCAUUAAUACAAGUGGAAAUAAGGCCUGUUAAAUCUUGCCUGAGCAGUUUUGGUAAGUGGGUGCUCUUCCCCUUGGAACGCAUGCAGAAGCAUCCUCUCUGUGGGGAAGGGUGAUCACAAAGAAAGCCACUGUUUCUGGCACUGCUCACCAAGGUUUAUUAGUGUGUAUCCUUUGAGGGCUGUGAACAUCUGCAGAGGACUGGAACUGCACAGCUGAGCACAUGGUCUCAAACCUGAUGUUUCCACGGGCUAAACAGGACAAGCGGUGAGCAGAUACCAAAGUUUUGAGUGCCACUGUCACAUGCUUACCUGCUUUUCCAAAAGACCAUGUCUUGCAAAGUCAGGAUGGAAAAUGCAGGAGUAUUUUGGCUUCUGGAAGCAUUUUUCUCCCUUGAGAGCUUUUCACCUUAAGCUACUCAUUCAGUAACUGGAGGACUGGCAGAGGCUGCCCAGAGUACUCUGUUCUGGAUGGCCCUGCUGGGGCUGGGGUUGUGCCAGACGUGCCAGGGCACUGCUACCCUCAGCUGUUCUGUGAUGUUGUAAUGGCUAAAUCAGUUGUAAGCAACUGCUAACAUUUAACCAUUCAUGUGAAAUGAGUGUGGGUCUCCAUCCCACUACCACUGCCAGUUUACCACCUCCCAGAUGGUACCAUCAGUGCUGCUUACAGUUGGCCAACAGCUGUUGCUGAGGUUGCCUUUCUGAUCUUGGAAGAGGUCUAGGCUGCAUGAAUUUUGCACUGUCCUCCAAUUUUACAUACUCCCAAGUGCCCUGUUUUGGCUGGAAAACCUGAUGGUCUAGCCCUUCUGAUGGCAACCCUGUGUGUUACAAGGGGAGGGAGAAAAGGGUUUGCAACCACAUGAUGAGAGCUGAGGGAAUGAUGAGUGGAAAAUCAGUUUAAUUGUCAUUAUUCUUUUUUAUUUGUCUUCUUGGAAAUAAGACAAAUGCUGUCCUUUCCCCUUUUUUCUUUUGGCUAAUAUUAGGCAUAUAAUACAGGCUGAAUACAUAAUUUUAUAAAGACUCAACACUGCUUGAUUAGUGUUAUUUGGAUCACAUUUUGAGGUUAUUAUCACAAAAUGGACUGGUUUUUCUGUGUAUUAAUUUUAAUGAUGAUGUUUUCUCUUGUGUAACUUCAACUAAAGAGAAAGGCAUCCUAAUGUUACCAUCUACGGAGAAAAGAAUCGUACAAAAGUUGGCUAAUGGAACAUUUCACUCCACCUAUUAACUCAAAAAAUAGAAGUCACAUGUUUCCAUUUACAAGUAUUUUAGUGAAAAGGCAUUAAGUGAAACAUUUUGUCAUCAAACAAUGUAGCUGAGCAUGUACCUUCUCAUGGCGUGGUGGGCCUCAGAUGUUUAUCAUUUCAUAGAAUCAUAGAAUAAUUUCAGUUGGAAGGAACCCUCAAAGGUCAUCUAGCUCAACUCCCCUGCAAAGAACAGGGAUACCUACAACUAGAUCAGAUUUGCUCAGAGUCCUGUCCAGCCUGACCUUGAAUGUCUUCAGGGACCGGGCAUCCACCACCUUUCUGGGCAAUCUGCCCUAGUGCCUCACCACUAGUAUUGUAAAAAUCUUCUUCCUUAUAUCCAAUCUAAAUCUCCCUUCUUUUAGUUUGAAACCAUUUCUCCUUGUCCUGUCACAGCAGUCCCUGUUUAAAGAGUCUGUCCCCUUCCUUAUAGCCCCUUUUUGAUACAGAAAAGCCACUCUCAGAUCUCUUGGAUUCAGAUCUCUUUUCAUCCCUUGGGCCAUUUUUGUGGCCCACCUCUGGACAUGCUCCAACAGGUCCAUCUCUCUCAUGAGGAUUUCUGUACUGAGGACUGCACAUCUAGAUGCAGUACUCCAGGUGAGGCUUCACCAGCUUCAGUAGAGGCUUCAGUAGAGAGGCAGGAUCACCUCCCUCCCCCUGGUGGCCAUACUUCUUUUGAUGCAGUUCAGGAUACAGUUGGCUUACUGGGCUACAAUGGCACACUGCUGGCUCAUGUCCAUCUGGUCAUCCCCAAGUUCUUUUCAUUUUGUAUUGUUUAGAAAUACAGUGAUAUAAAUUUGGGUCAUAGAAGGGCUCUGAGUGUUUGGAAGAGUUACCUUUGGACCUGCACAGGGCUCCUAUGGUAAGAAGGACCCUGAAGGUUUGGCUCUGGGCAGCUGGGUUUCUGCUUCAUGCUGUGGUUAAUUACAACAUGUCCUCAUGUGCUCCCGGGGGUGUGCAGAGCCAGGAGCUCAGAUUUCCUCCCCAAACACCUCUUUGUGGUGCUACUGCCAGAACUCCCUGCAGCUCAAUGUUCAUUCUGAGAAAAGGCUCUGCAGCAUGAUGAAGGGCUUUGCGGAAAAUGAAUGUCAUCAUUAGUGACUCCAGGACUGCAUUUUGGCUCAGAAUUGUGCAAUUCUAUUUCAAGGUUAACAGCUAACUUAAUCUGGGUGGAUGUUUGUCCUCAGAACAGCUAGUUUCUCCUCAAAAUAAUCUCUCCAUUCUUUUCCAUCCUGAGAAACACCACUCAGGUCCCCAGGUGUGAGAGCUGACACGGAAAGGUUGUUCAACAAAUUACAUUUGGCUGAUCUGAAAUUCCAAAAUAAGGCAAAUAGUGCAGUAGGUCUGAGCAGAGGUCAGGCAUCAGCUUCCUCUAGUGCGUAUAUAAAGAGCAGCUUGUGUUCCUCACAGCCAGUGAGAAUCCUGCUCUGAGCAUGUCACAGGAGGAAUUCACAAAAUGACAGUGCUUUCCCAGGCCUUUACUCAAAUUUAACCUUUGGAAAUUUUUUUCCCUAUUUUGUUCCUCACGUCACAAUGUGAAAUUAUAAUACAACUUACACCUUAAAUAAAUAUAUGUGUAAAAUCUCAAAAAGCAGUGCAUAUGUGCAAGGUAGAUCUUUUUUGUGUUUUUGUUGUUGUUUUCCCUUGAUUCAUACCUUAAAAGGUUUCCUUUGUGAACAGCUUAGGAGUUUUAAACUGGAAGGCCAGCUUACAACCAAACUGUGAAAUAUAUGCAGCAUAGAUGUAUAUUCACCUUCAUGGCUAUUUCACAAGGUGGAGGCUGUGUCCCUUUCUGACAGCUUGGUAGAAAGCAUAUCCUUCAUGUGGAAGUUUGAUGGUGAUAGAAUUGAUGAAUGUUUCCACUGAUCCUGAAGAUGGGUUGCAGGCUCAGAUGCAAUGGGGUUAUGUUCAGUGCUAAAUUCCCAUUGGGAGGGCUGGGAAGGGUUUCUGCAGUCUCUUUCUCCAUCCCAAUCAGGAUCACCUGUACCUGGUGUGUUCUUGGUUCAUCUGGCUUUCGUCUAAACUGUCUGUUGGGCUGAAAAAAGUUUAUGGGGCAAUUUAUCGCAUGGGUAGUUACCCAUUCUAUUAAAUAGCCUGAGUCAUUGCUGUUGAAGUGACAACCCAUCUUGUUGUGUCCCACAUGAGCUUAAUCCCAUUCCUUUUGGCAGUGAGCUUUUACAGGCAGUCAUCCACCCCUCCACCUCCUCUACUUGAUUCGAUGAUUCUGUAAGACUGGAGCAUUGGAAUGGGCUGCCCAGGGAGGUGGUGGAGUCACUGUCCUUGGAGAUGUUCAAGAAAAGGAUAAGUGUGGUACUGAGGAACAUGGUUAGUGGGUAUGGUGGUGAUGAGUCAGCAGUUGGACUAGAUGAUAUUAGAGGUCCAUUACAACCUUAUUGAUUAUAUGAUUCUAUUCUAUGCUUGGGGCUUUGAACCCCUCUGAAGUUCCUGCAGGUUUCACAUGUUCUUUGUCAGUACUUAGGACUGCAGCCUCCAAACAGCCUAACCAGGGAAACAACACUGCAAAACAAAUCCCAGCUUGUCCACUGCAGGUGCAAGGCUGACACAUCCCCAUCUCUUAAUGCUAUGGACUGAGCCAAAGAAGCUCCAGGGUGCCAAUACCUAAGGAAGGUCUGCAGGUGUUGUACUGAGAUGGAAAUGCCCUGUGCAUCCAAAGGUGAGAGCCACACAUCCCACUGGUCCCCUGAAGGAAGAAGCAGUUACUCCUGAGCCUUGCAUUGUCUCCCAAGUUCUCUCUACAACGCAGAACAUUGACAUCUUUCCAAAACACAGCAGAAAAAAAUGGAUAUUAAAACAGGUAUUUUAAAAGCAAUCUUACUCUUUAUUUUUUGGUGGAGUUCUAGUUACAUGCUACUCUUAGAUGCGAUCCAUUUUCUAAUAGGUCAAAAGUCUCAUGGGAAUCAGGCAAGAAACUGUGACAAGAACUAAAAUUAUCUCUACUGCUCCCUUGCACAGAUGGUGCUUUUCUGAAGCUGAGUGGGGUGAAACUGGUGAACACUGUGGGUGCAAGCUGAGGCUAUUCUGGCAAGAACCCCUGCAGAGUUUUGCUAUAGGCAGCUUCUGAUCACAGGGGUUCACCAAGACGUUCAUCACCAUGCCAAGGGCAGUGUCUGUAGGGGGGAAAUGGAAAGAAGCUUGGAACUCUUAAAUAGUUUCAGCACAAAAAAAGCUUCUACUGACAGCUGCUGAAACACAGUCUUUCAAACACAGCGAUGAACUUGAGUGUCUAGGAUUUUAAGCUAAUUAAAAUAGAACUGGAUGGAAUUAAUAUAAACAUAGCUUCAAACCAGGCCAAGGAAAACAAAACCCCAUGCAGGCUGACCUGAUGAAGAUUGUGGAAUACAGGUGCCAUUCAAUUUUCUGGAAUAGCAUAUUAUUUUUUAUUCUGAUGUUGAUAGGAAAAUAAUUUACAGACUCUCUCAGUAGGUUAUGUUGGAUUUCAUUCCGGUGUCUCCUUUUGCAAUAAUGCUAAUGGCAAAAGAAAUGCACAUUGAUAUUGUUUUAGCUGCAGCAGAAAUGCCAGGGAACUCAGAUCUGUGCUAUCACCUCGUCAGUGGGCAAAUUACUAAAUCGGAAUUUUAUGAAAUUACUCAAUAUUUGUGCAGACAGCUUCCAGGAAAAAGCACUUGUGUCUAUUUAGCUCUAGUGUGUAACAGAUGGGUAGAGACAAGUUAUUUCUUUGUAGCCAGACUCAUACUGACAUUUUAAGACAGCUUUCCUUAGGUGCUCAUUAGUUCUUGUAAGCCAGAUAUUAAAUCUUACCUUAGAGCAAAAUUCAGUCAUAUAAAAGGCCUUCAAGCAAUGUUGUAGUGUGUUACUUGCAAGAAAAUUAAAUGUAACCCAUCCUUUCAAAAUUGUAUUUCAUUUUAGCUUACAGCAUUUAGAUGUUAGAAGUCAGUUAUUUAUCUAUUAACUUUAAGCUGUUUAGGAACUUUAAGCUGUUCAAGGAAUUGUUGACCAAGAUCUCCUAGGACGCUGUCCUUAAAGACAAAGAUGCUGAGGAAAACUGGCUACUCUUCAAGGGUGCCUUUCUGAGAUCACAAGAGCUCUCCAUCCGUCUGAAUAAGAAAGCAGGAAGACAGGGCAGGAAACCAGCAUGGCUCAGCAAGGACCUGCUGGGCAAACUGGGGGGAAGGAAAGGCACAUACAAACUUUGGAAACAAGGGUGUGUCACCUGGGAAGAAUACAGGGAUGCCAUUUGGACUUGCAGACAUGGGAUCAGGAAAGCCAAGGUGCAGGCAGAACUGAACUUGGUGAGGGAUGUGAAAAACAAUAUGAAGACAUUCUACAGGUACAUUGGCCAGAAGAGAGAGGCCAAAGAGAGUGUAUCCUUUGGUAAAUGUAAAAGGAGGGCUGGCUUCAACAGAUGGAGAGAAGGCUGAGGUACUGAAUAAGUUCUUUGCCUCAGUCUUCACUGGCAGCCAGGACUCUAAUAUUUCUCACAUCCCUGAACCCUGCAUCCCUAAACUUCUAGGUGGGGACCGGGUGAGUAAAUCCCCCCCCCCCCCCCACUGUAAGGACAGAGCAAGUCCGAGACCACCUCAUGAGACUGAAUGCGUACAAGUCUAUGGGGCUGGAUGGCAUGCAUGGAUGGCAGGGUUCUGAAGGAGCUGGGUGAGGUGGUUGCUGAGCUGUUCUCUAUCAUAUUUGAAAAGUUGUGGCUGUCAGGUGAGGUCCUGGAUGACUGGAGGAAGGGUUGCAUCACUCCCAUUUGUAAGAAUGGGAGCAAGGAGGACCUGGGGAACUACAGGCCGGUGAGUCUCACCUCUGUACGUGGGAAGAUCAUGGAGCAGAUCCUCCUGGACGACAUGCUUGAUUACAUGAGGAAUGAGCGUGUGAUCCGAGACAGCCAGCACGGCUUCACCAGGGGAAGGUCAUGCCUAACCAAUCUGGUGGCCUUCUAUGGUGGAGUGACGGCACUGGUAGACAAAGGGAAGGCGACUGAUGUCAUUUACCAGGACUUAAGCAAGGCUUUUGACAUGGUCCCCCACCACAUCCUUAUCUCCAAAUUGGAGGGAUGUGGAUUUGAUGGGUGGACCACCUAAUGGAUAAGGAAUAUGUUGAAAGGCCACAGACAGAGGGUGGUAAUUAAUGGUUCUAUGUCCAGGUGGAGGCCGUUAAUGAGUGGUGUCCCCCAGGGGUCUGUCUUGGGACCGGUGCUCUUUAACAUCUUCAAGAAUGACAUCGAUAAUGGAAUUGAGUGCACCCUCAGCAAGUUUGCUGAUGAUACCAAGCUGAGUGGUGUUGUCACUGUGGAAUGAAGGGAAGCCAUUCAGAGGGACCUCAACAGACUUGAAAGGUGGGCCCAGGUGAAUCUAAUGAGUUUCAACACAGCAAAGUGCAAGGUUUUUGCACUUGGGCCGGAGGAAUCCCAGGCAUAUAUACAGACUGGAAGGAGCAGUCCUUGCGAGUAGCCCUGCAGAGAAGGACGUGGGAGUCCUGGUGGAUGAAAAACUUAACAUGAGCCAGCAGGGUGCUCUUGCAGCUUGGAAAGCAAGUGGUAUCCAGGGCUCCAUCAGUGGAGGGGUGGCCAGCAGGCACAGGGAGGUGACAGGACAGCAGCCCUCUCUACUCUGCCCUUGUGAGGCCCCAUCUGGAGUACUGUGUCCAGGUUUGGAGUCCCCAGUACAAGAAAGCUGUUGGAGAUGGUCCAGAGGAGGGCCACAAAGAUGAUCAGAGGGCUGGAGCACCUCCCCUAUGAAGACAGACUGAGGGAGCUGGGCUUGUUCAGCCUGGAGAAAAGAAGGCUGCAGGGUGACCUAAUUGCAGCCUUUCAGUACCUAAUGGGAGCCUAUAAACAGGAGGGGAGUCAACUCUUUGAAAGGGUAGAUAACAGCAGGACAAGGUGAAAUGGUUUUAAGUUGAAACAGAGAAGAUUUAGGUUGGAUGUCAGGAGGAAGUUCUUUACUAUGAGUGUGGUAAGGUCUGGAACAGGCUGCCCAGAGAUGAUGUGGAUGCCCCGUCCCUGGAGGUGUUCAAGGCCAGGUUGGAUGGGGCCCUGGGCAGCCUGUUCUAGUAUUAAAUGUGGAAGUUGGAAGCCCUGCCUGUGGUGGGAGAUGUUGGAGAUUCAUGAUCCUUGAGGUCCUUUCCAACCCAGGCCAUUCUGUGAUUCUGUGAUAUUCUUCUACUGCAAUUCUUCCACAAAUCGUGGGUCAGAGCACUCUGACAGUUAUCACUGACAAAUAGGACAUCUUCUCUUCUUAUUGCUACUCCGAAGAGCAGCCUUGGGAUGGACCAACAAAGAGGAAGCAGGACAGAGUCCCUCAGGCUGAGCCUUCAAGUCAGAUUGCAAGUGAUGGAUGGCUGACAGAUGAAGCUGCAAGAGAGACUUUUCCCUGUGGGGCCACCAACAGCACAGGCAGACCCUGCAUCUUCUCCAGCCUCCAUCUACAGCUGUGUUCCACCAAAGCUGUCCAGGUCGGAACUUCUCCCUCCAUGGCAAUGCAGGUAAAGGUGGGAGAAUUCCACAACUCUCCAAACCACCCCACCACUCUGGUCUACAGCCACAUUGCACAGAGAAGUAAGGUAGGUGCUGGGAUCUAAAUAGCAUUUUCUCUUUGUGAUGCCAACCAUUUCCACUCACUUCAAGAUCUUCUCAGGCUUGGAAAUGUGUGGCUCUGUACGUGUUCCUUUCCCAUCCUUUCCAGGCCAAAAUUCCUGAUUAGCAGUGAUUGCUUACAUGAGAGUUCUAGCUUUUUAGUGGUAAAAUGCAAUUAUCUGUUGUUUCACACUUGUUUCUGAAAUGUUGUGAGCACGAGGGAAAAAAAGAGGACAACCCACUUCAGAAAUUAAUGGCAGUCAGCUAAUGUAAAUACAAUUUCCCAGCAUAUCCCUAAGCACUGCAUAUCAGACAUCAGUGAUUUCAGAUGAGUCCUUAAUCUGAAUUCAUCUUUGUUGGGGUUGGUAUGUUAACCAUACACUCUGUUGACUUUUAAUGUGUGAGAAUAACAUUUCUAGAGGUAUAUUCCACGUUCUGAUAUCAUCCUGAAAGCAAUUAUAUAGUGACUUAAACAUUCACUUAAAAGUCCUAGCUUCGUGAUAAAGAGUUUCUUGUUGGAAAAUGUUUAUGAAGUGACUCAGUACAAUUUACUAUCCAUGGAUGAACUACUUCUAACCCCCCCAGCAGCUUGCAUUUCUCACUACCACUGCACCCAACACAGCUGAGACGUUAAUGAGUGAUGAACAGCUUCUCUGUAACAUCAGUUCUGCCCCUUCUGAGUUAUGCUUUCCUUGUGGGGAGAGGUGCACCAAAGUGCUUUUGAAGUGUUGCUGCAACCUUGCAGUAGGGGAGAAUGGUUUUGAAAGCUGGUGUCACGAGUGCAGCGACUUGAUGCUGGACUCAGAUGUGAACGAUCCAAAUCGUUUAUUACAAGUUCUCACCUCGCUUAUAUACCUUCACAAGUUUUCUAGCUUUAUCAUCCACCCCUACAACUUUCCCAUCCACCUUUACAUGUCAACAGAGCAUUCUACACUCUUCAACCAUUCAUGUGGGUGCUUAUCCAAUCAGAGCCGUGAGCUAUUCUUUCUUCUUCUAGAGGUGUCCUUGGUUCUCAUGAUGUUUAUCUUGCUCCACAGCUGCUGCUUCUGAACAGUUUUUCUUGUAUUCCCACAAACAAGCAUGGUGUAGUGCACCAGACAUGUCUGUGCAAUAAAUAAAUAAAUAAAUAAACCCAGCCCAAAUAUUUAGUUUUGUUUUAUGAAAGGAUUGUGAAAGAGGAGCUCUUCUGAUCAGCAGAUAGUUUCACACACAUUUCUCAUCAGCCACAGUGGAAUGCUCAAAAUAGGAUCAAUUUUGGUGAUGUCUCACACCAGAAAAAUUCUUGCAGAAUCCUCUCACUGUUUUACCAUCAUUCUAGCCAGAUUAAACAAACCAAAUCCUCAUGGGGGUUCAACAAGCACAUUUACCCACCAGAGUCCAUGCAGGGUACCUCUCUUCUCUAAGGAGAAGGUCGAUUCUAAAAGAGAGAAGAUCCUCCAGUGGCAUCUGCUUCAUCUCCCUUCUACCCCCCUCUGUGUAUGGAAAAGAAACACAGAAUCAGCUGAAGACUGGAGGGCUCAAAUUUUAUACACAUCUCUCCAAAAUGGAGAACAAUUUCAGUGUGGGUAUUUGAGGUCAUCUUGUGUAAUUUUCUACUUGGAUAGUAUAUAAGUAUGCAUAACACUCUGCAGCUAAGCCCCCUAAGAUUGCUUUGGUCUUGAUGACCUAAGGAUGUAACUGAGACAAGAUCUGCAAGAAUGCACUUCUCUAUAAAAUAGCUUAUUCUCUCCUCACAAAUACUGCCACCUCUGUAGAAAUGUUACUAACCUCUGCUGAGCUCCAGUGAGUACUCCUGCAGAAGUACUUCCUGCCUUCUCCCUCUGACCCAGGCAGCAGGCAAGAUUCAGAAAAUGGGCUUGGUUUUAAUUUAAUUUGAUGAGAAGGAACCUUCUGUUAUGGAUAUAGCAAUAGCAGCACAAACUGUACUGUGAGCACAUCACUAUUUUCCUUUGCUUAGGGAGCUGGAUUCUGCUUUUUUUUUUUUUUUUUUUUUUUUCCCAUGAAUCUAAUCUGGAUUUGUCUUUUAAAACAGCAUAUUUCUGUCACCUGUCUCUCUUCUUUUAAUAGCCUAUCUUCGAAAGAGUGUCUGCACACACAGGAAAAAUCACUAUGCAUUUAACAUAAAUGGGACUGCAUACUACACAAACUGCUGAUACAUUUCCAGACAUAGACUGAAAAAAAAUUUAUGAUACCCCUUACACAGCUCCAUACAAAUAUUUAUGCAUAGCCUGUAUUUUACAAACCCUUAUCCUUGUGCUGCAGGUCCUUCCAAGCCACGUGAAGUUAAUGUGGUGUCAGACAUGUCUGUGCUCAGGGCAUAAGAAGCCUUUGUGGACUCGUCUCCAGGAGGAGCAGCCCUACCCCAUGGGGUCUGCCUGCCAUGAAGCCUCCCUGUUUUCUCUGCAAUAAUUGUAACUGGACCCUUUUCUAUGUGAGCUGCUUAUCUUCCAUCUGAGGCCCAUUAGGCAGCAUACACAGAGAAUGUGUGAAGUCGGUGCUUGGCCGCCUUACUGCUUCUCGUUUUGGUGUGUGUAGAUGAGGCGAAGGCAGUUUCUGAAUUUCUGCCCCUCAGUGGGCUACAGAAGGGGAGCAGUGAGUCCCUGGGCUACUCCUGCACUGGCAACGUUUAGCAAGGGUCAGUGCCAAUUUGUGGUCAUGCCUUCGUGUCCUGUGCUUGUUGGGUUUUAUUAAUCAGCACUUUGAAAAGGCAGCAGUGGGGUUAUAGAACAUUACUGAAUUCUCGUGGAGGUAUUCAUUUAUCAUUGGCAAGCUUGAUGUUUCACAUAACUGUUACUUCAUCAUAUUCUGUGGUUGGACUUGAUGAUCUUUAAGGUCUUUUCCAACCUGAGCUAUUCUAUGAUUCUAUUAUUCUAUAUAGCAUUUAGUUAAAUGUGUUUUAAAAACCAGCCAUGGAUCCCAUGUUACCAGUGGUAUAAUAUAGAUCCAUGCCUGUCCAAGCAAGCAGCCCACUGCGUGAGUCCAGUGACGAGACAUUUAUGUGCACAGGGUACCUGCUGGGCCAAAGCCAGCAUUUAGGUGCCACUUUCCACCAAGUCUAGGGAAUUUCUCAGUUGCCCUUUUCAGCAAUGUUUUUACAGUCUUUUGUAUGGUAGCAACAGCAUUAAAGGGUUGCUAAGUGCGGGGGGAGGAGAACAGAAGGGUGGAAGUGACUACUUGCAGCUCUCCAUGCCUCUUCCUGGGAUCCAGAGGAACCAGCAGUGCUGCUCACAUUCACACAUGUGCCACCACACGUCUACAACCACACAUCCUCAAGUUAAGGACAGACACUGAAUUCCUUUCCAGUUCAAGCACUGUCAGGUAAAAAAUUGAGCUUUAUGUAUUUGAAUCAUGGACUCAUUUAGGUUGGAAAAGGACUACUAAAAGUCCACCACUAAACCAUGGUCCUAAGCACAACAUUCAUACUUGUCUUAAAUAUCUCCAAGGAUAGGGACUUCCCUGUGCCGCCUUUCUCAAUGCAUAACCACAUUGUGCAGAAAGGAAGAUCCUUCCUUUUUCCUAAAGAAGUUCUCUUGCCCCAGGAUUUCAUCCCAGCACUUGGCUCUUGUGGAGACAGCAGGAAAUGUUCACCGCAUUCUUUAAGGGGGAAACUGAUGACAGUGUUAUUCUCUGUGCACCACAACUCAUGUUUCUGGGUACUGCUAUUCUCAAAACUCUUCAUGCCAGUAAGAGCAUAGGAGCAUGUUUUAUUUCCUUGAUGAGCAAAUGCAACCCUUUGAGCUGGGAAUCUCAAAGGUAGCUCCACAAGAACAAGGCCUUGCUGAAUACUAAUGAAGUAUUUGCCAAAGUACAUGCAAUCCAUGAGCUGUGAUUUACCACUGGUCACUUUGAGAUAGUUUAUAACGAGAUAAAUGAGAAAAAUAAUGUCUCCUUUAAUAAGGUAUAGUGCAGAAAACUAUUUAAGCUGAAAAGAGAUUGGGUUUGCUGAUUGUGUACUGCAUGCAGCCUCUUGAAAACUGGGCUUUCUGUCCCGCAGGGCAUUCCAAUGCAACACUUGGUUUCAUCUGUAAUUACAAUGAACUUUCUAAAUGUCCAUUUCCCACAGAGUCGAAAAAUUUGAAGAAAAACAUGAUUAAAAAAUGGUCAGGAAUGACCUAUGACAUUGUCACUGUCUGGCCCUGCUAUGGCUUCACGUGUAAAUUCGGUUGCACAUGUGGUCACUAUCUCUAUUGCAGGACCCACAGUAAGCAGGUAAAUGCUGUCAACUGCCACAUCUAUAUCAAACUGUGUUUUUGGACAAGUACUGGAGGGCACGACAUCUGAGGUUCAUUUGCUAUGCUCCCUUUUCAGCCACAAAGUGAUUGAUGACUUUAGUGUUUACCUUUAUACAGUGAGGAGUAGGAGUUAUGUUGGCUAUACUGUUACUUCGCAGUCUUAAUGGAACCAUACUCACAAUUAAUAAGGAAUAACUACCUUGCACUUUGGUCACAGACUGAAAUGGGAGAUUUUGGUAGCAGCAACCAAAGAAAAUGUUGGCAGUGAAUGCUGCCUUUGGACUACUUCUGCCCAAUCCAGGCUACUGUGAAUAGAUUUUUUCAAUAGCUAGAGCAUUAAAAUAUUCAAAGCAAUGGCAAUAUAUUUUAUUAAAAACAGUGCAUUGCUUGGUAGGGCAGAAGGAAAUAAUGGCUCAGGGGUCUGGGAAUGGAAGAUGGAACCAUUUACAUCUAAGUCACCCUUUCACAUCUAGCCAAGGUCAGCAGUAAACAAGAAUUGUAUCGUUACCAGCUGGUGGCCCACAGAAUGAGAAAUAAAUUGAUAGUGUGAGUCCAGUUUCCAUGAAAUGAGGCAAAUACUGCAAAACCAGAACCAGAAGUGGAACUAACUGACACUGCUGCUGGCCCUACCUGGGUGCUGAGGAUAGAGUGGUGGAAACCUGACCAUGUCCCAGUAAGACAGGUGGUCCCAACAGGACUGUGGCAGAGGAACAUGCACGGUCCCUUUGCUGCCUGGUGGGCAAGGCAUCCUGCAUCCUGCAGACCCCAGGCUGCGACAUGGAGGGCCGCUUGCCUCCACCUCCCCUGGGCAUUGCACAUACCCAGACACCCAUGUCUGGCUGAUACUCAUGUUGUACAAGCAACAGCUUCUUAGUCCACCUUCCUUUAGUUAGAUGUCCUAUUGAAAUGAGAAAGCUUUAAAGUAUGAUGUGUGAGCUUGGGCUGAGGUAGCAGAUGAUGUUUAUUAUUAUUUUUAUUGGCUUCUUCUGGAUUUUCUGAUGUGAUUAAUUUAUCUAGCCAUAAUAUUUUAAAAGCACAAUCAAAUUUCAUUUUAAUUUGAAGCCAAAAUGCUCAGACUCAUAAUAUUUGAAGCUCAAAAAAUGAUGACUCUUUUUUAAAAUACCACAAGGGAUAUAUCAAUUGAGCUUAAUUACAUCAAAGAACAAUCCCAUAAGAGAGAGGGGAAAAAAAAAAAAAAAAAAAGAAGAAGGAUCUGCCAGAAAUAAAAAGGCUGCAUGGGUCAGUGGUCUCUUGAUUGUAAGGUAUGUGUUACAAUACACAUGUGUAUGUAAACAUAUACAUGCUUGUACAUAAUCAUAUAUAAACCAGCAUACUUUAACACUUAGCUCCACAAAAUGAUCUUUUCAUAGGUAUUAGGAGAGCAUGAGGUGCUCUACAAAAGGAAUUGUGCUUGCUUGUUUUUACUUUUCUCAUAUGACAGGCCAAAUAUUGCCUUUCCUGAUGCUAAUAUCUGGAAAUCUGUUACACAAGUACGCUAGGGGGAAAAAAUUAAUAAAUGGGACUCAUUAAAGGUAUUGCCAGAGAAAACUUACUAGAUUUGGCCAGGACACUGAUUUAAUCAACAUUUUUUCUUAUUGAAAGCAAAUGUUCAAGUGUGGUGAAUUUGAAGUGGCUAACUGAGGAGUUUCAGAGCGGAAAAUAGAUCUGCAUAAACCUGCAUAUAUACACUAAAUCCUAAAUGGAAGAUAGCUCUGUCUGCAUAUUCUGGAGAAGAUCCUGGAGAAAGUAGAAAUAAGGAAAAAAGACAGAAUUAAAUGUUGAUGCCUCCAGAACGAUGCUCUCUGAAGAAUCAUAGAAUUGUUGAUGUUGGAAAAGGCCUCUGAGGUUGUCUAGUGCAACCAUCCACCUACGACUAAUAUUGUCCACUAAACCCUGUCCCUAAGUGAUGCAUCUACCCUUUCCUUACACACCUCUAGGGACGGUGACUCCAGCACUUUCCUGGGCAGCCUAUCCCAGUGCACUGCCACUCUUUCUGAGAAGAAAUUCUUACUAAUACCCAACCUGAAUGAAACAGCAGCUUCACCUUUUUGUUUUAUGGGCAGUUCUAUGGAAGUCUGGCUAAAUAGCAUGGAUGAAGCACCUUCUUCUAAUGCAUCAGUGCAGAAUGAAGUGAACACAGGUAGCCCAGUACAAGGCAGAGCUAAAUGAAUUCCUUGCCUCUCUGUGAGUGCAAUCUGCACCUUGAGUCAGCUGUGCCACCCUGUUACAAAGACUUUGUUGUAGUACAGGAGUCUUAAAAAUAGCCUUCACCUCCUGAACCCCCUUCUAGAAAUGCUCCUCCACUCAGCCACAAGCUGAAGCUAAUUUUCACACAUCUGCUGUAAUUUAAACCAUCUGUGUGGCUGCAAGUUAAGGACAGAGAAUUUGUGGCCCAUAUUCUUCCCAUCUGACACUGGGAAGCUUUUGUGUGCAUUGUCCAUAUGCCUGCAUUAGCUCUGUGGGUUUGGGUCCAGAUAGCCACACUAUUUCUCUUUCAAAAACACUGUUUUUUAAGAAUCCCUCAGUGAGGAAUACUCAUUACCAAGGUGCUUAGGAAGGAGCAAGUGGUGCCAAGCUGGCUCUAGCAGGGUUGCUGGCUACUGUGCACAAUUAGUUGUUAGGCACUGAAGAGCCCUGUCGCAGCUCUUGAUUACCUAGUGUGUUUUGAAAAAUCUCCUCAGCUCAUACCAGCUUUCACUCACUGUAGGUAAUUAAGUUAGAAAAAUAAACACAAGCAGGGCUGCUCUGGCUGCAAGGACUGCUGUGCUCAAUAUAAGCCCUCAGCUGCACAGAGCCAGAGGGAGCUGCUAACAGCACUGACAGCUCAGGGAAGUGAUUUAUGAAGCUUUUCUUUUGCGAAAAGUUGGCAUCUAGACAAUCUGUGCCCCUCCCGCUGCCUGCGUGCUCUUCUGGCAUGUGUAAAGCCCAAGCAUAUUCCAUAAACAGACCAUUAAGCCCAGAAACUCUUCUUAAAACAUAUGAUUAGAAACCAAAACAGCUCAAUCCACAUCCAUGUGAUAUUUGUAUGAAGGAUUACAAAAUGGCAGCAGAAUGACAAGACAUACCAUACUGCCCAGUACCAGAGUAACCAUUUGUCUACUGGGAUAAAAACCAGCGCUGAAGUUCUCCAGUGCUGAAUGUGUAUUGCUGAGCUGAAUGUGUAUUGCUGAUCUUGAGAAAUGUUCUCCUUUAUUGCAGCGUACUCUGCUCCCACUGCUGGUUUAAUCCCAAGGAGCUCCUGCUUUUGAUCUCCAUGUGCAUCUGUGGGCAUAGACUGAGUGCCCAGAUAACUCUGGGAAUGUGGGGAAAGAUGUCCCAUCAGACAGGGCCACACCAACAGAGCCUCACAGGCCCAGGCCUUGACAAAGAACACUGCACAAGCAUGUUUGUGAUGCUUCAAAGAGACAUAGAAUCAUAGAAUGGCCUGGGUUGAAAGGGAUCACAAUGAUCAUGUAGUUUCAACACCCCUGCUAUGUCCAGGGUCACCAACCACUAGACCAGGCUGCCCAGAGACACAUCCAGUCCGGCCUUUAAUGCCUCCAGGGAUGGGGCAUCCACAACCUCCUUGGGCAACCUGUUCCAGUGUGUCACCACCCUCUGAGUGAAAAACUUCCUCCUAAUAUCUAACCUAAACCUCCCCUGUCUCAGUUUAAAAUCAUUCCCCCUUGUCCUGUCACUAUCCACCCACGUAAACAGUCAUUCCCCCUCCUGUUUAUACGCUCCCUUCAAGUAUUGGAAGGCCACAAUGAGGUCUCCCUGGAACCUUCUUUUCUCUAAGCUAAACAAGCCCAGUUCCCUCAACCUUUCUUCAUAGAAGAGGUGCUCCAGCCCUCUAAUCAUCUUAGUGGCCCUCCUCUGGACCCACUCCAAGAGUUCCACAUCCUUCCUGUACUGGGGGCUCCAGGCCUGGACACAGUACUCCAGAUGGGGCCUCACAAGAGCUGAGUAGAGGGGCACAAUCACCUCCCUCCCCCUGCUGGCCACUCCUUUUUUAGUGCAGCCCAGGAUAUAGUUGGCCUUUCAGGCUGCAACCGCACAUUGCUGGCUCAAGUGUAGCUUCUCGUCCAUCAGGACCCCCAAGUCCUUCUCUGCAGGGCUGCUCUCAAGGAGAUCUUCC